rnacentral:rRNA from 1 species
UGGGGAAUAUUGGACAAUGGGCGAAAGCCUGAUCCAGCCAUGCCGCGUGUGUGAAGAAGGUCUUCGGAUUGUAAAGCACUUUAAGUUGGGAGGAAGGGCAUUAACCUAAUACGUUAGUGUUUUGACGUUACCGACAGAAUAAGCACCGGCUAACUCUGUGCCAGCAGCCGCGGUAAUACAGAGGGUGCAAGCGUUAAUCGGAAUUACUGUGCGUAAAGCGCGCGUAGGUGGUUUGUUAAGUUGGAUGUGAAAGCCCCGGGCUCAACCUGGGAACUGCAUUCAAAACUGACGGACUAGAGUAUGGUAGAGGGUGGUGGAAUUUCCUGUGUAGCGGUGAAAUGCGUAGAUAUAGGAAGGAACACCAGUGGCGAAGGCGACCACCUGGACAAAGACUGACGCUCAGGUGCGAAAGCGUGGGGAGCAAACA